GUGGAAGUAAAAGUCGUAACAAGGUCUCCGUAGGUGAACCUGCGGAGGGAUCAUUAC
rnacentral:rRNA from 1 species